rnacentral:rRNA from 1 species
UACGUAGGUGGCAAGCGUUAUCCGGAUUUACUGGGUGUAAAGGGCGUGUAGGCGGCCUUUUAAGUCAGCGGUGAAAGUCUGUGGCUCAACCAUAGAAUUGCCGUUGAAACUGGGGGGCUUGAGUAUGUUUGAGGCAGGCGGAAUGCGUGGUGUAGCGGUGAAAUGCAUAGAUAUCACGCAGAACCCCGAUUGCGAAGGCAGCAUACCGGCGCCCGACUGACGCUGAGGCACGAAAGUGCGGGUAUCGAACAGG